CAAACAGUCAGACAACUGGAGCCUCAGAUGAUGGCUCUCUUUUGCCAGGGACCCUUAGGUAGACCUCUGGAAGAAAUCUGAAUGUCAUUCUCUCCAAAACAAUGCCCCCUGUCAGCAGAAAGUAGCUAAGAUCAGUCAUUAUCCAUAUUCUAAUGGCAGUUAGAUGCGCCUCUUCAGAGUGGGGAAAUGAUAGGGACAGAGGGCAGAGAAAUUUUAGGCAGAAAAGGGUGAGUCCCUGACACAACCCCACUGUCAAGCAGAAAGGCCCGGAAGCGUGGCCCAAAGUGAGAAAUUCUAUCCCUGUUUUCCAGCUAGAAUGUUGCCUUUUUCUAAACUACUCAUGGCCCAUCCCACCCCCAUUCUGUGCCUAUAAAGACCCAGAGUCAGCUGACAGAGAGCAGACAAGCAGCUGGAUGUGAGACUACGGCUGGGUGUCACAGAGAAGCAGCUUGACUUCAGAGGAGCAGCUUGACUUCAGAGGAACAGCUUGAUGGCGUAACUUCAGAGACGAAUCUUGGCCUGAGAUGACCAGACUCCAGGUUUGAAAAGAAAAAAAACCUAUAAACAUAUCACUCUAAGAGAACAUUGUCUGUUUCAUCCACAAAAGAAAACAACCAGAAGUGAGGCAGCUAAUGAAUAAAACAGUCAUAAAAAAUUGCUUUUUACAUAGGUAACAGGUCUUUCAAAUCUUCCAACUUGUUUGCAAAUCACUAAAGGAACAGAGGAAAUAAACCCUCCCAAUAGAAUUCUUGGAUUAGGCUGUUCACCUAUUAAAGGAGCUCAGAGAUAACCAUCAAGCUGGGGGGAAACGGAACACAAGAUAUCCAUGAUGGAAUCUCUCUCUGUCACCGUGGCUGGAGGGCAGUGGCGCAAGCUCGGCUCAUUGCAAGCUCUGCCUCCUGGGUUCACACCAUUCUCCUGCCUCAGCCUCCCGAGUAGAUGAGACUACAGGCGCCCGCCACCACACCCGGCUAUUUUUGUAUUUUUAGUAGAGACGGGGUUUCACCGUGUUAGCCAGGAUGGUCUGGAUCUCCUGACCUCAUGAUCCACCUGCCUGGGCCUCCCAAAGUGCUGGGAUUACAGGCGUGAGCCACCAUGCCCGGCUAUACUGUUAAUUUUUCUGUUUAUGAUCUGGUGUGUGAUUUCUUUUUUCUAUAAUUUUGUUAAAUUGAUUUGAUUGAGCAAACACAUAAAGGGUGGGGAAUGUGACUUAAGAAAAAAUAAACAGUAGAUUCAGCUUGAUUGAAUGGUAAUGCUCUUUUUUCCAGUAGUUUUUAAGGGUGAAGAGACUGGCUGAUUAUGAAAACUGACUACCUUAUAAAAUGGAAAAACGUUUGGAUUAUCUGGUGUUUAGCUUAAAAAUAUUUUUUUCAAUUAUUUCUUAAAACUGCAUGUGAAUCCACAACUGUCUCAAAAUAAAAUAUUCUAAGGAUUAAU
rnacentral:lncRNA from 1 species